rnacentral:rRNA from 1 species
UUUAUAGAGAGUUUGAUCCUGGCUCAGGAUGAACGCUGGCGGCGUGCCUAACACAUGCAAGUCGAGCGGAGCUGAUGAUUAGCUUGCUAUG